GUUUCUGUAGUGUAGUGGUUAUCACGUUCGCCUAACACGCGAAAGGUCCCUGGUUCGAAACCGGGGCAGAAACA
rnacentral:tRNA from 1 species